rnacentral:rRNA from 1 species
UACGGAGGGAGCUAGCGUUGUUCGGAAUUACUGGGCGUAAAGCGCGCGUAGGCGGCUUUGUAAGUUAGAGGUGAAAGCCCGGAGCUCAACUCCGGAACUGCCUUUAAGACUGCAUCGCUUGAAUCCAGGAGAGGUGAGUGGAAUUCCGAGUGUAGAGGUGAAAUUCGUAGAUAUUCGGAAGAACACCAGUGGCGAAGGCGGCUCACUGGACUGGUAUUGACGCUGAGGUGCGAAAGCGUGGGGAGCCAAACAGG